UACGUAGGGUGCGAGCGUUGUCCGGAAUUAUUGGGCGUAAAGCGCGCGCAGGCGGUUUCUUAAGUCUGAUGUGAAAGCCCACGGCUCAACCGUGGAGGGUCAUUGGAAACUGGGGAACUUGAGUGCAGAAGAGAAAAGCGGAAUUCCACGUGUAGCGGUGAAAUGCGUAGAGAUGUGGAGGAACACCAGUGGCGAAGGCGGCUUUUUGGUCUGUAACUGACGGCUGAGGCGCGAAAGCGAUGGGGAG
rnacentral:rRNA from 1 species